CAUACUCUAAUAGAGGGACAUCCAUUAUCGAUUAGGGUAAACAUAUCAAUGAUGAAUCGUUGAGAAAAAGGAGGUGUAUUCCUUACCGGUUACUGGGUAAGAAUAGCCUACUAUGGAAAAUAUCAAAUAGGGUUUACAACUACCGGUUACUGGGCAGAAGACCAAAGAGAGAGAAUAUCUGUCACUGGUUAAAGUGAACAUAUCAAGGAUAGACUCAAGGGAAGAAUAUCCAUCAUCAGUUAGGAUGAAC
rnacentral:lncRNA from 1 species